rnacentral:rRNA from 1 species
GCCAGCAGCCGCGGUAAUUCCAGCUCCAAUAGCGUAUAUUAAAGUUGUUGCGGUUAAAAAGCUCGUAGUUGGAUCUCGGCGGGCAGGGGGUGGUUCGCUCUUCAGCGCUACUGCCCCGCUUUGCCCGUGUGAUUGGCGGAGGUUUCGGGGUGCUCUUCGUUGAGUGACUCGGAGCGCCGUCAGGUUUACUUUGAAAAAAUUAGAGUGCUCAAAGCAGGCUUUUCACGCUUGAAUAUUCGUGCAUGGAAUAAUGGAAUAGGAACUCGUUUCUAUUUUGUUGGUUUUCGGAAAUCGAGUUAAUGAUUAACAGGGACAAUUGGGGGCAUUAGUAUUCAGACGACAGAGGUGAAAUUCUUGGACCGUCUGAAGACUGACUACUGCGAAAGCAUUUGCCAAGAGUGUUUUCAUUAAUCAAGAACGAAAGUUAGAGGUUCGAAGGCGAUCAGAUACCGCCCUAGUUCUAACCAUAAACGAUGCCAGCUAGCGAUCUGCCGAGUUUUUUUUGUAGGCUCCGCAGGAAGCUUUCGGGAAACCAAAGCUUUUGGGUUCCGGGGGAAGUAUGGUUGCAAAGCUGAAACUUAAAGGAAUUGACGGAAGGGCACCACCAGGAGUGGAGCCUGCGGCUUAAUUUGACUCAACACGGGAAAUCUCACCAGGCCCGGACACUGGAAGGAUUGACAGAUUGAUAGCUCUUUCUUGAUUCGGUGGGUGGUGGUGCAUGGCCGUUCUUAGUUGGUGGAGUGAUUUGUCUGGUUAAUUCCGAUAACGAACGAGACUCUGUCCUGCUAAAUAGUUUCUACUUCUCUUUUGAGUAGAAAUUUCUUCUUAGAGGGACUGGUGACUCUUAGUCACACGAGAUUGAGCAAUAACAGGUCUGUGAU